AGAUAAUACACUAUAAUUUAGCAUGAUUUAUCUCAGGGUUGUACAGAUGGUUCAACACACACAAAUCAAGGAAUGUGAUAUACUACAUCAGCAGAAUUAAGAAAAAAAUAUGUAUCUCAAUGAAUGUAGAAAGAGCGGUUUAUAAAAUUCAGCAUUUCUUCAUGAUUAAAACACUCAUCAGGUUAGGUAGAGAAGGAACACGCCUUAAAACAAUAAAGGCGUUGCGGGGGGAGGCGGAUUUCCAAGAUGGCGGAAUAGGAAUAGCUCUGAAGUGCAGUUCCCAGGGAGAGCAACACAAAGGAUAAAAGAUGACAAGCAUGGAAUUAGUGGAUUUUCAUUUCAAAAUAUCACGAAUUUGGAUGGAUAUUUCACCUCUGGGUACAAUAUGUGGCUGAGUCUGCUGGGUGAUAGCUGGUCCAGAAAGAAGAUGGAGGUCUGCAAUCUGCUUGCUUUGGAUAAUAGUAAUUUUUCCAGAAAAUACACUCCCCUGUGCUGUUUAGUUUCUACAUAAUUAUGUUUACAUAUACAUCUCUCUAUAUGCCUAAUUUAUAUUGAUGUUUAUCAUUACAAACACAGGGUAUAUAAAAUGAGGAUAAAAUGGACUUAUUUUUGUUUUGGUUUCAGUCAAGGGCCUGGGGCCAAGAAAAAUAAAAUAUUGUGAUAAAGAACCA
rnacentral:lncRNA from 13 species